CCUGCCCACAGAACCACAGUCUCACAAGCAGACCUCCCUGGCCCCAUUACAUUUUGCCUGUGUCCGCUUUCCGGCAGCCGUAGACCUCCCCAAAGCCACCGCGGCCGAUGAUGCGAUGAACACUGAAGUCGUUCAUGGUUCCCCCAUUAGGUGGGAUCUCUCACGUCUCUACCGCCACCUUCUGCCACCCAAGGCCAGCUGUCUCUAGUGACCCCAGUGCCACCAUCCCCUCCACGUCAUGGACAGCACUUACCUGGAAGAGGUCUGGGGGCACCUGCUUCUUGCUCAGGCGGCUCUGCACAUGCUCUGUGGCACUCUUGGAGAAUGGCUGCGGGGCGGGACAGCACCACAUCACCAUGAGGAGGUGGGAUGGGGACAUUGUGGUGGAACCCCCCGUGGCGUGGUGUGAUGAAGCACGGCACUCACGUGAGAGCAGGCCAGUAGCUCCUUCAUGAUGUAAUGGUCGAAGAUGUGGCGGCUCCGGGUGGCUCGCUCCUCCUCCGAGUCCAGCUUCUCGUACUUCUUAAUCUGCCAAGGGCACAGAUUGCGUGGUGAAGGGGCGCAGCUCCACAAAAGGCACAUACAGUGCACAGCGGGGAGCCACGUCUCGUGGGCACCUGUGGAUAUCAGGACCCCGGGCACUGAGGGCAUCACCUCCAGGCAUGCAGGGCACCAUCUCCCCCGGGCACAUCACGGGGCAGCCCAGCCCCAGCACCCCAUCGCACCUCUUCGUAGAACUCCAUCAGGGGCUUGGCCUCCUCAGCCUGGUUGAGGGCGAAGUCCCGGAACAGCAGGUACCCUGGGGUAGAGGCAGUGCUGCGAGUGGUGCCCGGGCCAUGGUGUGGCACCCAGGCCGAGGGACGCGGCGCCACACGGCAAGGGCGAGGCAGGCUGAGGAAGGCUUAUGGGGCUGCCAUGGGGCGGAGGUGCCGGAAACCACCAGAGCCGCGGGGAGGAAGCAAGAGGCGCUUCCUGCCCAGGACAGUUAGUGCUAGGGGAAGUGACAGGGCGGGGAAGGCCGGAGGAGGACACCACCCAGCACCGCUGCAGCCCCACAGCCGCCCCGCAGCCCCCACUCACCGAUCUUCUGCGCGAAGAUCUUGUCGAAUGUCACCUCGCCCCGGUCCUCCAGAUACUUCUGCAUGACGCUGCGGAUGCUGGGGGGGCAGCCGGGGGUCAGUGUCGGCCCAUAGUCCCCCUCCGCAUCCCUGUGCGCCCCGACGGUAUCUGGGGACGGGGGCUCCACAGGGUCCGAGACAGGAGCACGGUGGGGCUGAGGGCGGCAGGGACAGCAUGGCCCGGCCCGGCGCCCCCGGCCCGAC